UACGAAGGAGGCAAGCGAUGUCCGGAAUUAUUGGGCGUAAAGAGCGUGCAGGCGGUAAAUUGAGUUGGGUGUAAAAGGCAGCGGCUCAACCGCUGUAAGCAUUCAAAACUGAUAUACCUGAGUGCAGGAGAGGAAAGUGGAAUUCCCGGUGCAGCGGUGGAAUGCGUAGAGAUCGGGAGGAACACCAGUGGCGAAGGCGACUUUCUGGCCUGCAACUGACGCUGAGACGCGAAAGCGUGGGUAGCAAACAGG
rnacentral:rRNA from 1 species